GAUCGGGUGGGCGGUGGGUGAGCACGCGCGCGCGCCUCCGCGCGCCCGUCCCGCGUUCACUUUCCGUUCAGCCGUUAUCUCCUCAAACGAAGUAUCCCUCGAACACCGUCAAAAAGUUCGUUUUCAAGCAGCAUCUCCUCGCUACCCCCCGGCUCGCGUUCAACGCCAGUCUCAAACUCGUGUUCAGUGGCGACUUCCAAGCAGCAGAAAGACAAUAUCAACCCCAAGACAGGUGAGUUCGGCAACACAGAAGUCUGGAAAGAUGGUAUUUCCUUCCCUCCUUCGCAUCACGAAGACCAGUAGACUGGGAAACAUCUGCCACUGGUCUCCUCUGGCUGCUCCAAUGUUCUUCCACAGUCAUGCAAUUCAGGCAAACCGGUGACUCUGAAUUGCCUUUA